GAUUCUGUCAGUUUUGGGAGCUUUAAAACCAUUUGUGACUGACACAUUAUUGCUUUCCAGGAAGUGGUAGGGAUGACAAAAAAGCAUAUUCCAACAGGGCUUUGGAGAGGAUAAAGUCCAAGAAGUACUGAAACCAAGAGUCACUUAAAUUUUUAAGAAUCUUCAUUUUAAAGAUAAGUAGUAGUCCACAUAGGAAUGCAUGGUAUUCAAUGAUGAUUUCCUACAUUUAUUCAAGGGAUAGGAACAUGCUAUUGUGAUCAGAAAGAAAAAUCAAACAAAAAGAAGAGGCCAAAGGAAAGGAUAUGGUCAGAAAAAAAAAUCAAACAAAAAGAAGAAGGUGAUAAAGGAAAACAGACGAUAGUGGUUCCUAUCAAGAUCUUAGAGAAAGAGAACAUUAAGGGAGACAAAUUGGAGUGAUAUCCAACUAAUCAGAAGCUGGAUGUAGCUGAAGGACUUCUUGUUCUAAUUUAUCUGGCUGUGUCUUCACUGAGCGGAAGUAUGCUGACUGUUUUACAUGUGGUAGCUACAAAAAUCUCAUAAAAUGUAGAGCAGGAUGCCUAGAGGAAACUGAGGCUGAGAAAGAUGCAAUAACUUGCUGAAUAUCACAGAAACAAUACGUGAUUCAAAGACUCACAUACAGCCCUCUUCAUGAUUGCAGAAUCUCAACUUUCAACUAUACUGAUUCUCCACAAUGAUGCAUUUCUCGUUGUAAUUUAAUAUAACUCUACAAGGAGAACAUGGAAUGGGAAAAAUCUGACCAACAUUGCAUAAUAUGAUAAAAAUAACUCAUGAUUACCUUAAAAGAA
ensembl:lncRNA LINC02305 long intergenic non-protein coding RNA 2305